rnacentral:rRNA from 1 species
AGUGAAUGCUGGCGGUAGGCCUAACACAUGCAAGUCGAACGGCAGCACAGUAAGAGCUUGCUCUUACGGGUGGCGAGUGGCGGACGGGUGAGGAAUACAUCGGAAUCUACUUUUUCGUGGGGGAUAACGUAGGGAAACUUACGCUAAUACCGCAUACGACCUACGGGUGAAAGCAGGGGAUCUUCGGACCUUGCGCGAUUGAAUGAGCCGAUGUCGGAUUAGCUAGUUGGCGGGGUAAAGGCCACCAAGGCGACGAUCCGUAGCUGGUCUGAGAGGAUGAUCAGCCACACUGGAACUGAGACACGGUCCAGACUCCUACGGGAGGCAGCAGUGGGGAAUAUUGGACAAUGGGCGCAAGCCUGAUCCAGCCAUACCGCGUGGGUGAAGAAGGCCUUCGGGUUGUAAAGCCCUUUUGUUGGGAAAGAAAAGCAGCAGGUUAAUACCCCGCUGUUCUGACGGUACCCAAAGAAUAAGCACCGGCUAACUUCGUG